rnacentral:rRNA from 1 species
GUCGAGAGGCUUCGGCAAUGGGGGAAACCCUGACCGAGCGACGCCGCGUGGGCGAUGAAGGUCUUCGGAUCGUAAAGCCCUUUCAGGUGGGAAUAAAGGUGGCGGGUGAAUAAUCCGUUCACUGUGACGGUACCACCAGAAGAAGCUCCGGCUAACUCCGUGCCAGCAGCCGCGGUAAUACGGGGGGAGCAAGCGUUGUUCGGAUUCAUUGGGCGUAAAGGGCGCGUAGGUGGCCUUGUAAGUCUGACGUGAAAUGUACCGGUUCAACCGGGGCACUGUGUCGGAAACUGCUUGGCUUGAGGUCGAGGGAGGAAAGUGGAAUUCCUGGUGUAGCGGUGAAAUGCGUAGAUAUCAGGAGGAACACCCGUGGCGAAGGCGGCUUUCUAUCUCGAUUCUGACACUGAGGCGCGAAAGCUAGGGGAGCAAACGGGAUUAGAUACCCCAGUAGUCC